rnacentral:rRNA from 1 species
UACGAGGGGUGCAAGCGUUGCUCGGAAUUAUUGGGCGUAAAGGGUAGGUAGGUGGUCUUAUUUGUCUGGGGUGAAAGCCUUGAGCUUAACUCAAGAAGUGCCCCAGAAACGGUAAGACUAGAGUCUUGGAGAGGGUCGUGGAAUUCCCGGUGUAGCGGUGAAAUGCGCAGAUAUCAGGAGGAACACCGGUGGCGAAGGCGGUUCUCUGGGCAUGAUCUGACGCUGAGGAGCGAAAGUGUGGGGAGCGAACAGG